AACGAACGCUGGCGGCAGGCUUAACACAUGCAAGUCGAGCGAAGACUUCGGUCUUAGCGGCGGACGGGUGAGUAACGCGUGGGAACAUACCCUUUGCUACGGAACAGUCCCGGGAAACUGGGUUUAAUACCGUAUACGCCCUUCGGGGGAAAGAUUUAUCGGCAAAGGAUUGGCCCGCGUUGGAUUAGGUAGUUGGUGGGGUAAAGGCCUACCAAGCCGACGAUCCAUAGCUGGUUUGAGAGGAUGAUCAGCCACACUGGGACUGAGACACGGCCCAGACUCCUACGGGAGGCAGCAGUGGGGAAUCUUAGACAAUGGGGGCAACCCUGAUCUAGCCAUGCCGCGUGAGUGAUGAAGGCCAUAGGGUUGUAAAGCUCUUUCGUCGAGUGCGCGAUCAUGACAGGACUCGAGGAAGAAGCCCCGGCUAACUCCGUGCCAGCAGCCGCAGUAACAC
rnacentral:rRNA from 1 species